GCGGUCUGGAUAAACUUCCGCCCGAGGCCUGCUACCCAUUAUCAAGUCCUAUGCUGCAGGGCCACCUGCUGGCGGGUAAAAGUCGGUGCGGUCGUGCAUUGGACUGAAAAGAAACCCGCUUGUUUGUAGAACAAGGUGCUGUUGGGUAACGGCGAACUGGUUGGCCGAGUUACGCAAAGGGCUCUGAAGUUGUAACAUCCUAACAGGGUAACCUGCCCAUAUACAGGUUCAUCAGAUUUGAAGGCAAAAUCAGUACGAGCGCGCUUCUUCCCCUUAAUUAUAUGGAAAUGAGAGUUGUGUAAGUCAGGAGAGACAUAAUAAAUUCGCUCGCAGCCAAAAGAAAGGUGCACACUAAACACUGAUGGUGGCUUUCCUGGUGGUUUUAAUGGUGGAAGAGAAAAAUUUGCCAUAGCAUAAACAUCUGUGAAACUCUCCUGAGAAGAAGGAGAAGAAGAAGAAUAAUUUUUAAAGAAAAACAAGGGACACAAAGAAAUCAAAGAAAAGAAUGAAAGAAAAAAAUCCUACAUAUUACAAAGAGCAGUUCUAAUCAGUAAAAGAAGGAGCCGUAACAGAACAACAAGAAGAAAUUGUGGAGCUUCCAAGUGGAAAAUAUAGUUAAUACUUUGCAGUGCAUGUAUAUAUAAAGAGGGAGUAUAUUUGAAUAAAUUAUUAUAGAUUGACUUUUUUAAACAUUCAC